GAUGACGUUGCGCGGAAGGUGGAUCAGCUGCUGCAGGAUCGGGAGCUUCUGGUGACUGAGGGGGAAAUAAUACACAGAGAAAGAGAGAGAGAGAGAAAAGGAGGCAGAGCACAGGGCGUGUUGGGGAUUUCCUCACAAAAUUGGACACAACAAUGAAUAUUGCAAGGUGACAUCAUCUUAAUAUCCAACAGCUGUUCAACUCUGGGACAACUUAACAUCUCAGCUUGCUAUGUGAAUCUGUUCUCUGCUCAGACAUUUAAAAAUCAGUGUUGUGAUUCAUGCUUCAUGUGAACCCCAUUGAACAAAACACUAGUUGUUUCAGUAUUGCUAAUUAUAUUUAGAACAACUUGGAUCUCCAAAGUGGAUCAAGAAACUUGCCAUAUUUUCCUUUUACAGUAUGUCCUAAUAAUUUUGUCUUUCAAUGAUCGGAGACUGUGGUCAACCAUUUUGUAAAGUAAUAAAGAGACACAACCUUGAUCACUGUUGUAACUUCAGAAUAUAUUCAAGAUCAUGAGGAGACCAAAUAAACAUCGACAGCUCCAAUUUUUUAGUCUCUUCAGCAGGAAACCUAAAUCAAAAUCAAAGCUGGAGAUGUCCACAGUUGCAGUUGAGGGAACACAUGCAAAAACUGAAAAUCAGGAUGAAAAGAAAAUGUCCUCCGCUAACAGGACAACACAUUCAUCCAGUAAUGAACAGUUGUUGGGUACUUUAGAGUGCCCACUCUGCCUUCUUAGCCAACCUCGAUCCCGGUUCCCAGAGAUCACUUCUUGUCACCAUCGUUCUUGCCUUGAUUGCUUACAGCAAUAUUUGAAGAUUGAAAUUACAGAGAGUCGGGUCAAUGUUGCCUGUCCAGAAUGUUCCGAGUUAUUUCAUCCAUCAGACAUUCGUAUGAUUCUCAACAAUGGCACUUUGAUGGAAAAGUACGAGGAGUUCAUGCUGCGAAGGUACCUUGCAUCUGACCCAGACGCUCGAUGGUGCCCUGCACCUGACUGUAGUUAUGGAGUAAUCGCCAGUGGCUGUGCAACUUGCCCAAAGCUGACAUGCGAGCGGUCAGGGUGUGCGACUGAAUUCUGUUACCACUGCAAACAACUUUGGCAUCCAGACCAAACUUGCAGUGAGGCUCGUAAGCAGAGGGAUGUAUUUGUGGCUGGAAUAGAAAAACACUCUACCUCUCUUAUUCACAGUGAAGAAUCAGAUAAUGCUGAAGAGAUCAAGCCAUGUCCACGAUGUGGUGCUUUUAUCCUGAAGAUGAAUGAUGGAAGCUGCAAUAGGAUGACAUGUGCUGUGUGUGGUUGCCAGUUCUGCUGGCUGUGUAUGAAGGAGAUUACAGAUCUGCACUACCUCAGUCCCUCUGGUUGCACUUUUUGGGGUAAGAAACCUUGGAGCCGGAAAAAGAAGAUUCUCUGGCAAGUGGGCAUGUUGGUUGGUGCUCCAAUUGGAAUUACCUUGAUUGCGGGCAUUGCUGUUCCAGUUAUGAUGGUUGGGCUUCCCAUCUACGUAGGCCGAAAGAUUUACAACCGCUGUGAAAGUAACAAAAUAUCAAAACAUAGACGAAGACUUGCUGUGGCUGGAGGAGUGGUUCUAUCGAUUAUUGUCUCUCCCGUGUUAGCUGCAGUGACAGUCGGUAUUGGGGUGCCUGUCAUGCUUGCCUACGUUUAUGGUGUUGUUCCAGUGUCGCUGUGUCGCAGCGAUUGGUGUGGAGUUACAACUGGAAACGGAAAAGGAGUGAAGAUUGAAAUAGAUGAAGAUGCUGCGUCUGUUAAUGAGCCACGACCUAGACUACAUAACCACAGCAUCAGCGGGAGCAGUGUGCAAGAGGUGACCAGUGGCCUGAGUGCAAGUGGAAGCAAUCUCGACAGAGCUGGUGUGAAAUUAGAAAAUGAUCAAUCAGCAAGCAAUAUAGCAUUGGCAGGAAGCAUGCUGAGUGCAGAACAGGAUUCUUCAAACAGGGAAGGAAAGAACAUAGAAGUCCACGUGGAUAUUGAGACAGAACCUGGUGGUGCUAAAGAUCGUAGUAGCAGUAGCUACUUGUCAGUUCACAGUUUGUCUAUGGAGUCACCAAACUGCUCAAGAGAACUAUUGUGUGGCACUAGUCCAAAUACUGAACGGAUUUCCAUUCAGACCUGAUUCCCAGACAUUUUGAAGCUUUUGUCCUGCCUGUUGCACUUUGAUGUUUACACCACUUUCAGCUGCAUUAGAGGUGUCAUAGAAUGUGAUUUCUACUGUUUACCACCAUCUCCGCUCUGUUAAAAUGUUGAUUAUUCAUCUAACCCAAGUACAAUUAAGAACUUAAUGUAUAAAAAGGAUUGAUUGUGUCACCUUCUGAUUGUGGCUCAGUGAAAAUCCACCAGAAGACACUUUAACUCAUGAGCUCAAUUUCAAACCAUGACAACAGCAUGCUGGCUUUUCAGUUCUGAUAUUGUGACGUGAAAUUUGUCUUCUGCGUGCAAUGAGAUCGAGACUAAACACAAACAUGCAGUUUCACUACUGUCUGACUCUGGAAUUGUAUGACCAGUGUAAUUUAUUUUUGCCUAUUUUAACGGCCAACUUGCUGGAAAGUAUUGCUAUUACAUAACCAGGAGUAUCUGGGAAAUACAGAUUCGAAGUUGGCACAGCCUUUCCAUAAUGUGUCAGAUUUGAUUUCUCUGUAGGUCCGGAGACCGCAAAGUGCCAGGAAUGUUUGUUUUGGUAUCUGGAAUUCUUAUAGAGAAACUGAACACCAUCAACUUUAAAAAGACCUAAGUCAUUACAAAAAUGUAUGCGGAAUAAAUUGAAAGCUUCAAAAUGCUCAACAGAAAACAUUAACCUGUAAGAGUUUGGUACAGCAUGUUUAAUAUCUCAAAUGUGCAUAAUAACAGCAAAUAAGUUACUGGGUGUUGUUGAAUUAAAUGUAUCAGCUUUAGCCUUAUGUCAGCUCAGAAAUGUUAUUUAUGUGGUUAACUCUGAUUCUGGUUCCCUGAUGAGCAUUGUAUGAUAAUUGGCACAUUACAAUCUCUGUAUUCUAAAUUGUAAAACAUUUUGCUGCAGAACAUGUUGAGCAAAAUCAAUGACCCGCUGCCAUAUUGAAUUGUGCACUACAGAUUGGCUAACUCCAUCUGCAAGAAAUUGUUUCAAUAACUUAAAGGAGCAUUCCUUCAUAAAAAGGGCACUGUGUUCACAUUGCUAGUAUCACACAAAGAAAGCAGUUCUAUACGAUUUCCAUAGCACUGCUUAUUCCAAAAACUAUCAUUCUAAAAACACGAAUAAUGAAUUACAGUGCUCCGCACACAACGUGCGUUGUUUCAUGCACUAACAGCUGAAACACUGCUAGUUUAGUCUAUGAAGAUUAUCUUUGGACCAUUGUGUUACUUCCAAGUUGCAAAGGUGGAUUGUAAAUCCUGAAAAAUGUGUACAUUUUAAUUGAGGAUGUCUUGCAUUAGAUGUAACUUAAUACAAUUUUUUGAUCAGCAUUUAUAAG